rnacentral:lncRNA from 1 species
GCAGCUGCCACAGAGGACACCAGGUCAUGCCAACACCCCCACAACUCCUGCCCGCCUGCAGGCAGCUCUGGGCUCAGGACACCGCCUCCAAGAACCUUUAUAGCGCAGCUCUCCAAAUCUUGGAGGCAAGGACAUUCUAUGUGGCCGCCCUGGAAAGGCCUGAACCUAUAAUAUCUGGGCUGCGAUGGUUUCUGAGGUGGACACCAGGACCAACACUUGUCAGCAUGGCACAAUCAGGCAUUUCUCCUCUAAGAGGAUGUGCAGCCAAAAACUCAGCUGUCUGUGAGCUGUCUUCUCCCAGGAACGAGGACAUAAGAUGUACAUCAGGGGAACAUCUUAGGCUAGUGUGUCGACUUCUGACUUGGCUCCUCUGA